GCAGACACAUUCCAGCCAAUCAGCAGCAGACCCUCCCUCCAAGACCCUCCCACCUCCUGGACAGCAUCCAUUUUACAUUCAUUGUGAAGCUGCAUUCUUAGUGAACUGUCCAGGAGGUGGGAGGGUCUGGGAGGGAGGGUCUGCUGCUGAUUGGCUGGAAUGUGUCUG